rnacentral:rRNA from 1 species
ACGCUGGCGGCACGCCUAACACAUGCAAGUCGAACGAAGUAGCAAUACUUAGUGGCAGACGGGUGAGUAACAUGUAGGUAUCUGCCCUUCGGCCUGGAAUAACACGAGGAAACUUGUGCUAAUACCGGAUAAGUCUUUACGGAGAAAGCUUUAUGCACCAUUGGAUGAGCCUGCACUUGAUUAGUUUGUUGGUGGGGUAAUGGCCUACCAAGACUGUGAUCAAUAGCUGAUUUGAGAGGAUGAUCAGCCACAUUGGGACUGAGACACGGCCCAAACUCCUACGGGAGGCAGCAGUGGGGAAUCUUGCACAAUGGAGGAAACUCUGAUGCAGCGAUGCCGCGUGAGUGAAGAAGGCCCUUGGGUUGUAAAGCUCUUUCGUCGGGGAAGAAAAUGACUGUACCCGAAUAAGAAGGUCCGGCUAACUUCGUGCCAGCAGCCGCGGUAAUACGAAGGGACCUAGCGUAGUUCGGAAUUACUGGGCUUAAAGAGUUCGUAGGUGGUUGAAAAAGUUAGUGGUGAAAUCCCAGAGCUUAACUCUGGAACUGCCAUUAAAACUUUUCAGCUAGAGUAUGAUAGAGGAAAGCAGAAUUUCUAGUGUAGAGGUGAAAUUCGUAGAUAUUAGAAAGAAUACCAAUUGCGAAGGCAGCUUUCUGGAUCAUUACUGACACUGAGGAACGAAAGCAUGGGUAGCGAAGAGGAUUAGAUACCCUCGUAGUCCAUGCCGUAAACGAUGUGUGUUAGACGUUGGAAAUUUAUUUUCAGUGUCGCAGGGAAACCGAUAAACACACCGCCUGGGGAGUACGACCGCAAGGUUAAAACUCAAAUGAAUUGACGGGGACCCGCACAAGUAGUGGAGCAUGUGGUUUAAUUCGAAGAUACGCGCAGAACCUUACCAACACUUGACAUGUUCGUCGCGACUCUAAGAGAUUAGAGUUUUCGGUUCGGCCGGACGAAACACAGGUGCUGCAUGGCUGUCGUCAGCUCGUGUCGUGAGAUGUUGGGUUAAGUCCCGCAACGAGCGCAACCCUCACUUUUAGUUGCCAUCAUUAAGUUGGGCACUCUGAAAGAACUGCCAGUGAUAAGCGGGAGGAAGGUGGGGAUGACGUCAAGUCCUCAUGGCCCUUACGUGUUGGGCUACACACGUGCUACAAUGGUAUCUACAACAGGAAGCAAGACUGCGAAGUUAAGCAAAUCCCUAAAAGAUACCUCAGUUCGGAUUGCACUCUGCAACUCGAGUGCAUGAAGCUGGAAUUACUAGUAAUCGUGGAUCAGCGUGCCACGGUGAAUGCGUUCCCGGGUCUUGCACUCACCGC